rnacentral:rRNA from 1 species
UGGCGGCAAGCCUUACACAUGCAAGUCGAGCGGUAGCAUUUCUAGCUUGCUAGAAGAUGACGAGCGGCGGACGGGUGAGUAAUGCAUAGGAAUCUGGCCAAUAGAGGGGGAUAGCCCGGAGAAAUCCGGAUUAAUACCGCAUACACUCUAUGGAGAAAAAGCAGGGGAUCUUCGGACCUUGUGCUAUUGGAUGAGCCUAUGUCGGAUUAGUUAGUUGGUGGGGUAAAGGCCUACCAAGGCAGCGAGCCGUAGCUGGUCUUAGAGGAUGAUCAGCCACAUCGGGACUGAGACACGGCCCGAACUCCUACGGGAGGCAGCAGUGGGGAAUAUUGCGCAAUGGGCGCAAGCCUGAUGCAGCUAUGCCGCGUGUGUGAAGAAGGCCUUAGGGUUGUAAAGCACUUUCAGUAGUGAGGAAAAGUGUUGUGUUAAUAGCGCAAUGCUGUAACGUUAGCUACAGAAGAAGGACCGGCAAACUCCGUG